UACAGAGGUGCCGAGCGUUAUGCGGAAUCACUGGGCUUAAAGCGUGUGUAGGCGGAUCUGUAAGUACCUUGUGAAAUCCCACGGCUCAACCGUGGAACUGCUUGGUAUACUGCGGGUCUUGAGCCACCUAGGGGCAAGUGGAACAAACGGUGGAGCGGUGAAAUGCGUAGAUAUCGUUUGGAACGCCAAUGGUGAAAACAACUUGCUGGGGGUGUGCUGACGCUGAGACACGAAAGCCAGGGGAGCAAACGGG
rnacentral:rRNA from 1 species